AAUUGGGGAUGUAGGCAAUAUUAGAGAAAAGUCUUAAUCUCUCUCAUGCAUGAUAGAAAUUUUCAUCUGGGUUUUGCUUGACUUAAGAUCUCACUUCUCAACCU
rfam:Capsicum annuum cultivar Zunla-1 chromosome 11, whole genome shotgun sequence